GUCUUCUAUACCACCCUUUGUUUAUUACACCUUUGUUGCUUUGGCAGGCCUGCCCUCGGGCUGCUGGCUCCGGCCGGCGAGCGCCUGCCAGAGGACCUAAACUCUGUUUGUCUGUAA
rnacentral:rRNA from 1 species